UGGGGAAUAUUGCACAAUGGGCGAAAGCCUGAUGCAGCGACGCCGCGUGAGGGAUGACGGCCUUCGGGUUGUAAACCUCUUUCAGUAGGGACGAAGCGCAAGUGACGGUACCUGCAGAAGAAGCACCGGCUAACUACGUGCCAGCAGCCGCGGUAAUACGUAGGGUGCGAGCGUUGUCCGGAAUUACUGGGCGUAAAGAGCUCGUAGGCGGUUUGUCACGUCGUCUGUGAAAUCCUAGGGCUUAACCCUGGACGUGCAGGCGAUACGGGCUGACUUGAGUACUACAGGGGAGACUGGAAUUUCUGGUGUAGCGGUGGAAUGCACAGAUAUCAGGAAGAACACCGAUAGCGAAGGCAGGUCUCUGGGUAGUAACUGACGCUGAGGAGCGAAAGCAUGGGUAGCGAACAGG
rnacentral:rRNA from 1 species